UGACCGCUGGCGGCGUGCCUAAUACAUGCACGUCGAGCGAACAGACGAGGAGCUUGCUCCUCUGACGUUAGCGGCGGACGGGUGAGUAACACGUGGAUAACCUACCUAUAAGACUGGGAUAACUUCGGGAAACCAGAGCUAAUACCGGAUAAUAUAUUGAACCGCAUGGUUCAAUAGUGAAAGACGGUUUUGCUGUCACUUAUAGAUGGAUCCGCGCCGCAUUAGCUAGUUGGUAAGGUAACGGCUUACCAAGGCAACGAUGCGUAGCCGACCUGAGAGGGUGAUCGGCCACACUGGAACUGAGACACGGUCCAGACUCCUACGGGAGGCAGCAGUAGGGAAUCUUCCGCAAUGGGCGAAAGCCUGACGGAGCAACGCCGCGUGAGUGAUGAAGGUCUUCGGAUCGUAAAACUCUGUUAUUAGGGAAGAACAAAUGUGUAAGUAACUAUGCACGUCUUGACGGUACCUAAUCAGAAAGCCACGGCUAACUACGUG
rnacentral:rRNA from 1 species